AUAUUGGUCAAUGGAUGCAAGUCUGAACCAGCCAUGCCGCGUGCAGGAAGACGGCCCUAUGGGUUGUAAACUGCUUUUGUCAGGGGAUAAAACAGCUCUGCGGAGCAAAUUGAAGGUACCUGACGAAUAAGCCACGGCUAACUACGUGCCAGCAGCCGCGGUAAUACGUAGGUGGCAAGCGUUGUCCGGAUUUAUUGGGUUUAAAGGGUGCGUAGGCGGCCGUAUAAGUCAGUGCUGAAAUAUCCCGGCUUAACCGGGAGGGUGGCAUUGAUACUGUACGGCUUGAGUAGAGUUGAGGUUGGCGGAAUUGACGGUGUAGCGGUGAAAUGCUUAGAUAUCGUCAAGAACACCGAUAGCGAAGGCAGCUAACUAAACUCAAACUGACGCUGAGGCACGAAAGUGUGGGGAUCAAACAGG
rnacentral:rRNA from 1 species